UACGAAGGGUGCAAACGUUGCUCGGAAUCAUUGGGCGUAAAGCGCACGUAGGUGGCCAACUAAGUCAGACGUGAAAUCCCUCGGCUUAACCGGGGAACUGCGUCUGAUACUGGAUGGCUUGAGUUCGGGAGAGGGAUGCGGAAUUCCAGGUGUAGCGGUGAAAUGCGUAGAUAUCUGGAGGAACACCGGUGGCGAAGGCGGCAUCCUGGACCGAUAUUGACGCUGAGGAGCGAAAGCCAGGGAGCAAACGGG
rnacentral:rRNA from 1 species